CCCUUAGAUGUUCUGGGCUGCACGCGUGCUACAAUGGCGUUUCCAGCAAGUCUGCGAACCCGAGAGGGCCAGCGGAUCUUCGAAUCGGCGUCGUGAUCGGGACAGUCGAUUGCAAUUAUUUGACUCAAACGAGGAAUUCCUUGUAAUCGCGAUUCAUCAUAUCGCGCUGAAUACGUCCCUGCCCUUUGUACACACCGCCCGUCGCUCCUACCGAUUGAGCGAUCCGGUAAAUGUUUUGGAUUGGUGCCGGGGCGGCUAGCUGCCGGUCGCUACGAAAUUUUGUGAACCUUAUCGCUUAGAGGAAGGAAAAGUCGUAACA
rnacentral:rRNA from 1 species